AGCACGAAACUUGCCCCGAGAUGAGUUCUCCCUGACUCCUUGAGAGUCCUGAAGGAACGUUGAAGACGACGACGUUGAUAGGCCGGGUGUGUAAGCGCAGCGAUGCGUUGAGCUAACCGGUACUAAUAAACCGUGAGGCUUAACCUUACAACGCCGAAG
rnacentral:rRNA from 1 species